rnacentral:lncRNA from 1 species
UUCCGCAAACCCUCUGGUCCAGGCUGCAUCCCUCCAAACGGCCGCUAGACGGCGCCCAAAUCCACGUCUGCGUCCAGGGCGGCGCUGGGCCUCUUGUGAGGCUGCUGCAGCCGCAGCCCGGCGCGCUCCUCUCUGCUCUUUUUCUCCGGAUCUGCGCCUCUGGCCCACAGGUGAGGGUGGAUCUGGAUCAGCCGCAGUCCUGGGGCUGCGUCUGCGGUGGGGGCUCAGGAGGGGCGCGGGGCCCCGGGCUGGCGUCCUGGGAGGCCGAGUCAGGGCGAGUGUGCCUGGGCAGCCCCAACCCCAAAGUCCAGGCUGCUUCCAGGUCCAGCACCCGUGUAACCUUUCCUUGAUUAGCACUGGGAACUGACUCUGAGCCACAAGCCCAGCCGUUUUCACUUUGAGCUGAGUCUCACGAAGUAGUUAAAUUGGCCGGGCUAGUCUUGAGCUUGUGAUCCUCCUGCCUCAGCCUCCCAGAGUGCUGGGACUAUAGCUGUGCCCCGCCGCACUUGGCUCGAGAUCCACAACUUUUGAGUGCCAACGUGACACCGCCUGUGGAAACCCACCAGACCUCUGUGCCGGGCCACGGCGGAUAGUGUACAGAAUGACCUCAGGCUCCGUGCGGAAGAGUGGCCACGUGGACCCUCCUUUCCUUACCAGUGGGAGAAACAGCACCAGGAACCGGAGCAGGAACUUCCUUCGGCAGCCUCAGAGGAGCAUCCCUGGCCCCGGGGACUUCGCCACUGGAUUGAAAGUGCGUCCAGGUGGCUGCGGUGGCCAGAGGUGGCCGUGACUCGGUGUCAGGUGCACCUGAGGGUGUGAGCUGACCUUAGCUGGCCACACAUUCAGAACUCGAAGAGACAUGCAACGUGCACGGACAGACACAGGGACAGAGCGACACACAGCACCCCCGCCGGCUGCCC